UAGGGAAUCUUCGGCAAUGGACGAAAGUCUGACCGAGCAACUCCGCGUGAGUGAAGAAGGUUUUCGGAUCGUAAAACUCUGUUGUUAGAGAAGAACAAGGACGUUAGUAACUGAACGUCCCCUGACGGUAUCUAACCAGAAAGCCACGGCUAACUACGUGCCAGCAGCCGCGGUAAUACGUAGGUGGCAAGCGUUGUCCGGAUUUAUUGGGCGUAAAGCGAGCGCAGGCGGUUUCUUAAGUCUGAUGUGAAAGCCCCCGGCUCAACCGGGGAGGGUCAUUGGAAACUGGGAGACUUGAGUGCAGAAGAGGAGAGUGGAAUUCCAUGUGUAGCGGUGAAAUGCGUAGAUAUAUGGAGGAACACCAGUGGCGAAGGCGGCUCUCUGGUCUGUAACUGACGCUGAGGCUCGAAAGCGUGGGGAGCAAACAGG
rnacentral:rRNA from 1 species